GGGAGUGUUUGCACCUCUGGUGGGGGCCCUGGUCUUCAAAACCAGUGGACGGCUUGAAGAAAGCCGUCAGUGGGUUCGAUUCCCAUACACUCCCG
rnacentral:tRNA from 1 species